ensembl:snoRNA
AUCCUUUUACAGUUCAUAAGCGCGAAUAUUGGAUGUUCACACUGUUGUGUGGCUUGUGCUUCCCUCAAACCUUGUUGUGACUUCAGCACAUUACCCAUCUGACA